GCUUUGGUGGCUGACGCAGGAUGACACGAGCUCUGAGCUCCGAGGAGGAAAGCGUGGAUGCAUCUGAGUCACCUUCCUCCUGGCAGCCUCAGCUGAAACAUGAAAUAUUUUGCAGUUGUUGGUCCUGCUGCUGAACUUCCUCCUCUGCAAAGAUCUGGGCACAUUUUUUUUGUCAGUGGUACCAGGAGCUACAGCUGUGGGAAUGAACGAGCUGGCCUACAGUGUUUCGACAGCUGCUGUUGACAGGGGAAAAAGCAUCUUUCACUGCAGAAAAGCCUGUCCUUCAUUUAGGGAAGCCAGCAGCUGUCAGAAGAGGAAAGCUGAAGAUUGACAGAGGAAAGACACAGCAAAAGUGCUCCCAGAACAUUGUAUAAAAAAAGACAAUCUUAAGAUGUUGACCUCUUAGAGAAGUGUGUAAAAUCAAAGAAAAAAACAGCAAUGAAAAUGUUCUGGUUAUUCCCUAAAUGGAAGGACUGUAGAUGCUGCAAGACCCUGCUGUUCAGCUGUUACUGAAACAUUGUCUUCAAAAACACCAAGUGGGGAAAUGUUGAUUUGUUUUGAUCUCAGGGGAAAUAAUGUAACUCAGCAACAAGCCCACCAGCAGCAGCAACUCUUAAUACACAGCAAGACAACUCACAGAGAAAUCACCUUGCUCCUGG